AAACAAUGCUGUGCACUGUAAGGUGUCAGAGAUUAUUGCACAAAAGGCAAGAUUUGCUAUCAUCACAUUCACUGGAAAUUGCCAGGCAUUUUUGUUAGCUUGUCUCUGCAAAAAUGUCUCGAGAAGUUCUCUCUUUAUCUUCGUGCCAUUCCAAACCAUACAUCGAUAAAUCUACUGUAUGUCUCUCUCUAAAUACGUCAGUAAGAAUUCCUCUCUCUUGAUGUAAGAUCUUACAUUCAUUUUCAAAAGAUCAGUCCCUCCAGAUAAAAUAGGC